UGGGGAAUAUUGGACAAUGGGCGCAAGCCUGAUCCAGCAAUGCCGCGUGGGUGAAGAAGGUCUUCGGAUCGUAAAGCCCUUUCGACAGGGACGAUGAUGACGGUACCUGUAGAAGAAGCCCCGGCUAACUUCGUGCCAGCAGCCGCGGUAAUACGAAGGGGGCUAGCGUUGCUCGGAAUUACUGGGCGUAAAGGGCGCGUAGGCGGCAUAGUCAGUCAGGCGUGAAAUUCCUGGGCUUAACCUGGGGGCUGCGUUUGAGACGGCUAUGCUAGAGGGUAGGAGAGGGGCGUGGAAUUCCCGGUGUAGAGGUGAAAUUCGUAGAUAUUGGGAAGAACACCGGUGGCGAAGGCGGCGACCUGGCCUAUUACUGACGCUGAGGCGCGAAAGCGUGGGGAGCAAACAGG
rnacentral:rRNA from 1 species